UUUUCGCUGUCGCUGCCGUAGUUAUUGUUAACGCCUGAACACGAAUGCCUUGCUAGCACGAGGCAACAUGAUCGCUUAAAUGAAUUGACGAUUAUGAUCAAAUAUCAAAUGCGCUUGAAUUGACUCAUAACAUCAAGCCGGUCAUGUGCGCAGAUGGUACUAAACUUCUUCCUUUUCUGCGCAGCAUGUCUUGACAAGCCAAAACAACAUGGCGGAGGCCGUUAGGACAACAACAAGUCCAUUAUUUACAAUGCAAUAUCACUUUGCUUGACAAGCUAAGCUUGAUCCUGGAAAGAGAGGAGCUCCCAAAAAGAGAUGCCAUAGCUGCAAUGGCAGCAAUGCCCUUGCACGAAGAGUUUGUACAACGUGCAAGGCCACUUUCCCUCCCCCCAAAAAGAAGGAAAUGAGGGGGGAUGGGAAUAUCACCCACCAAAGAGGACAUCUUUUCGAUAGGGUAAGAUUAAUUAUUAUACUGUAUUGCGUAAUCAUACAAAACAAGCUUUAGAAAACAAUCUUUAGGAGAUUUCCCGGACAACUCCCGUUAUAUGUUCAUUAGAAUAACCAAUGAACAGGGUGGUAAAGUGUGUCUUCGUGAAACGAGAUAUGGCCGUUUUACACUGCCGAGAAUCGUGAAAUCGUCCAUUUUCCAUCUCCGUGGAACGUGAUCUAACAUGAUUUAGCAGUUUUGAGUCCACGUGAACCCAGAUCUAGCUUAUACUUAUUUUCUAGGCGCUGUUUGUUUCAGCCAGUAAAACGUGGAAAGCCAUUUUUCUGUCCGUGAAAAUGUCAUCCAUACCCCCCUUUACCACCCUUAAUGAAAGAUACCAAAUUGGACGUGGUUACCAAUAGUUUUAACCAUAAAGGUGCCAAAACUCACUCAUUUCAAACUCACUCAAAUUUUGUUUACAGUAUACUCUUAUUUCCUUUCCAAAUAAUUUGGUAAAAGGGCCAAAAAGUCUGCUCGUUUCAAGCUAAUUUCUUUAAAUAAUUUUUACUAAUAAGUAACAUUUCCUGUUGUGUCUAAAGAGCUCCUGGCCGCAAAAAAACAAAAAAAAACAGACACACACACAAACAGAAUAUGGAGCAAUGAAAAAAGAGAGUAAGAGAGUGGAAUGUCUUUGACAUUAAAAGAAGUAUAUUUAUUAGAGGGUGCACUGCCGAAACUGAUGUCAUCAGAUUACCAUUUUAAUUAUUAUUACUAGCUUGAGUUGUUCGCUAAAGUUUUUGAUUUUGCAGUUAAGAAAUGUUUGUCUUUGUAAUAAUAAUAAUAAUAAUAAUAAUAAUAUAUGUUUAUUUCUACACCAUUGCAGCUAUCAUGGCUGAAUUACAAGUGAGAGGUCGUCACACAGAAACUAACAAUAGCGCACAGUCACGAAAUCUCUAAACCUACAAGUAUUAGCUUGCGGUCCUAUUAUUUUCUCAUUUCCUGAUCUCAAAUUAUAUCCAUGUUGGACAGUUGUCAUGUUAUUAACCACAGAUUUUAAGGGUUCAACAGUUUUAGCUCUUGCCAUAAAUUUCCGACAUGCUUCAUCCCUUCUCUCAGACACGGCAAAGGGACGACCACGGCAAAGGGACGACCACAUCCUGCUACGGCACAAGAGGAAGGGGUCUGAAGUUUAUCGGGGACCAGCAGGAGGCCAAACCUGACGAGGAUGGCCAACUUGCCUUCCGCUUGUUUGAUAGAUUCAUGAGAGCCCAAAGAAAAACACCCGCGGCAACAACACCACCCACGGUUGCACCCGCGGCGACAACACCACCCACGGCAGCACCCGCGGCGACAACACCACCCACGGGGGCACCCGCGGCGACAACACCACCAACGGGGGCACCCGCGGCGACAACACCAACCGAGGCGGCGUCAACAUGAACAUAGCAUGCUCCAUGUACAAAACAAAAUCAAUCAGUUUAUUUUUCAA